rnacentral:lncRNA from 1 species
AAAAGGGUUCCCUCAACACAAGCAUACAUAUAUUUUUGACAAAACAGAGCUUCAUGAAUAAAAAAUAAAGAAUAAGAAACAUAUCUCAGGUCUUCAAGGUCUGCAGUUUUCGGUCAUUUUCGGCAUUUCGUUUUUGUUAUUUACUGUGCGGCACAAGUUGCCCAGCAGUGUAUUCGCUGCAGCACUUACAACAUGCUCCAUUGCCUCCUGUGCAGGAUGACCGAAAUCACACACAUUUAGGUCCUCAAAGUCUGAAGGGAAGCGUACACAAGGCAG